rnacentral:rRNA from 1 species
AAUUUUCCGCAAUGGGCGAAAGCCUGACGGAGCAAUACCGCGUGAGGGAGGAAGGCUCUUGGGUCGUAAACCUCUUUUCUCAAGGAAGAAGAAAGUGACGGUACUUGAGGAAUAAGCAUCGGCUAACUCCGUGCCAGCAGCCGCGGUAAUACGGAGGAUGCAAGCGUUAUCCGGAAUGAUUGGGCGUAAAGGGUCUGCAGGUGGAACUGAAAGUCUGCUGUUAAAGAGUUUGGCUUAACCAAAUAAAAGCGGUGGAAACUACAGAACUAGAGUGUGGUAGGGGCAAAAGGAAUUCCUGGUGUAGCGGUGAAAUGCGUAGAUAUCAGGAAGAACACCGGUGGCGAAAGCGUUUUGCUAGACCAUAACUGACACUGAGGGACGAAAGCUAGGGGAGCGAAUGGGAUUAGAUACCCCAGUAGUCCUAGCCGUAAACGAUGGAUACUAGGCGUGGCUUGUAUCGACCCGAGCCGUGCCGGAGCUAACGCGUUAAGUAUCCCGCCUGGGGAGUACGCACGCAAGUGUGAAACUCAAAGGAAUUGACGGGGGCCCGCACAAGCGGUGGAGUAUGUGGUUUAAUUCGAUGCAACGCGAAGAACCUUACCAAGACUUGACAUCCUGCGAAUCCUGGUGAAAGCUGGGAGUGCCUUAGGGAGCGCAGAGACAGGUGGUGCAUGGCUGUCGUCAGCUCGUGUCGUGAGAUGUUGGGUUAAGUCCCGCAACGAGCGCAACCCUCGUUUUUUAGUUGCCAGCAUUAAGUUGGGCACUCUAGAGAGACUGCCGGUGACAAACCGGAGGAACGGUGAGGAUGACGUCAAGUCAGCAUGCCCCCUUACGUCUUGGGCUACCACACGUACUACAUGCUACGGACAGAGGGGCAGCCGAAAGCCCAAGGG